rnacentral:rRNA from 2 species
GUUAUCGUUUAUUUGAUAGUACCUUACUACUUGGAUAACCGUGGUAAUUCUAGAGCUAAUACAUGCUGAAAACCCUGACUUCGGAAAGGGUGUAUUUAUUAGAUAAAAAACCAAUGCCCUUUGGGCUCUUUGGUGAUUCAUGAUAACUUAACGGAUCGCAUGGCCUUGCGCCGGCGACGGUUCAUUCAAAUUUCUGCCCUAUCAACUUUCGAUGGUAAGGUAUUGGCUUACCAUGGUUUCAACGGGUAACGGGGAAUUAGGGUUCGAUUCCGGAGAGGGAGCCUGAGAAACGGCUACCACAUCCAAGGAAGGCAGCAGGCGCGCAAAUUACCCAAUCCCGACACGGGGAGGUAGUGACAAUAAAUACUGAUACAGGGCUCUUUUGGGUCUUGUAAUCGGAAUGAGUACAAUUUAAACCUCUUAACGAGGAACAAUUGGAGGGCAAGUCUGGUGCCAGCAGCCGCGGUAAUUCCAGCUCCAAUAGCGUAUAUUAAAGUUGUUGCAGUUAAAAAGCUCGUAGUUGAAUCUUGGGCCUGGCUGGCCGGUCCGCCUCACCGCGUGUACUGGUCUGGCCGGGCCUUUCCUUCUGGAGAACCUCAUGCCCUUCAGUGGGUGUGUUGGGGAACCAGGACUUUUACUUUGAAAAAAUUAGAGUGUUCAAAGCAGGCCUUUGCUCGAAUACGUUAGCAUGGAAUAAUAGAAUAGGACGUGCGGUCCUAUUUUGUUGGUUUCUAGGACCGCCGUAAUGAUUAAUAGGGAUAGUCGGGGGCAUCAGUAUUCAAUUGUCAGAGGUGAAAUUCUUGGAUUUAUUGAAGACUAACUACUGCGAAAGCAUUUGCCAAGGAUGUUUUCAUUAAUCAGUGAACGAAAGUUAGGGGAUCGAAGACGAUCAGAUACCGUCGUAGUCUUAACCGUAAACUAUGCCGACUAGGGAUCGGGCGAUGUUUCUAUCUUG